CAGACCUCUGUCAGAUGCCUUGGCCCUGAGUGAUUUUUCAACAUGCUAUGUUAACAGGAGUAAUGUGAAGAAAAUAUCCUGAGUGAAAGAAUAGGACAGCUAAAGCUAAAGUUCCAUCAGGAAGGAGAUGCUUUAGAAAUGUGGGAGACAACUAGACAAGGUUUAAAUGAUCUGCUUUGUAAGAGCGAGUAACAGUUGCCAGCAGCAAGGGGGAUACUAAGAAGAGUGCUGUUUUGACCUGCUUGCUUUGAAAUACUAUAUGGUUUUAAUAGUUUUCAGUUAGUGCAGACAGCAAAGCCUAGCUAUGAAGAGGCAAUAUAGAACUGCAGAGAGAAUGUGCCAUGUGCAGAAUAAACCCUGACAAUAUAUAUUUUUUUUUAACAAGGACUAAGAAAAGGGUAACAGUGGAAUACACACAACUGCAAUUUUCUGAGGCUGGUGAUAUGGCUUUAAAGUUCUGGUGGCUGGGUUUCUUGUGAGGGAUUUGGUUGUGACUGGGGUUCAGGAAGAAAACCCAGGGUGAGCUAGAACAGUGUGCUGAAGUGACCAGGAACAAGCCCUGACUCAUAAAACUGACAGAAGAUGUUACCUACAGUGGGAUUUAUCUCCACUAGUCAUAGUUAUCAAAAAGCUAGAUGUCUGGUCUACACUAAUCUCUCAGGCUCCUGAACAAAAGGCACAAAAGGCAGCUCCAGAGGUUAAUGAAUCCCAGCUAUUUGGAAGACAGCUUAAAUCAGAAGGAUCUGCCCUCCCAAAGGAGCAAAAAACAAAUACCAUGAAUGAUACUUCCUUACUUUUUCCACAGCUGCAGCAAUGUGAAAAGAAUCCCUCUUAUGACCCAGGAUGAUGCUCAUGAGAAAAACACAAUGCUCUCACACAACAGACAUGCUGGAACUGUCAAAAUGCCCUGCUAUGUAUGUGUGGCUGGGGGAGGAGGGAAACAAAACUGCUUGUGUUUUCUAAAAUACAAUAACACCAACCUUGGUGGAAGGUGGAGACAGACAAUGGUGUCCCAGAAAGCUUUUCAUAUGGAAGAAGAUAUACACCUCGUCUCACUCCAUCUCUCAAACUACCACCUGGACAACCAUGUAAUCUUCACCAUGACACAGCAGUAUGGUUCUAUUUCUCUGGGUUUUUUCCUCACCCAGUAGCUCAAAGUUGCCACUGUAGUCAUAGCUUCACCUGACUCUGUGGUUUCAAGGAUGGUGGUGUGUGUCAGUGGACUCUAUAGCUUGCCAGUUUUCUAAGAAUUGUAUCAUCAUAUGCUAUGUGGACCUGUUCUCUCAGUCUCAGAGAAUCAAUUAGCAAUGACUUUAGCACCAUGUGGAUAUGCAGUCAUCUCCUGUGAUGCCACCAUCCUUCAGUGAACUUGAAAUGUGGCCUUACCAAUAGUAUAACUUUGCUAAAACUUAAAAAAGUUUGGACAAUGAUUGAAAUAUUUCAUGCCCUGGUCAAGACAGCUGAAAGACUGAGGACUGCUGGAUGAGAGAGUAAUCCUCUGGUAAUCAGAACAUGGAUGUGAAAAGUUCAGCCAUCUUUCUGUGUUUCAGGUUCCUGAUAAUAUACCAGUUCUCUAAAGGCAAGAGGCUCAACAGGCAAAUUGACAUGGAUUUUACUGAAAUCAGCUAUCUAAGUUAUACCAGAUGAGACUUUGCUUGGAGAAAUCAAAAGCAAGCCUCUCUGGAAAGUAAUGACUGAGGUGGAGAGGAUUGCAAGACCCAACAAAUAAACUGGUGAUUCCUUGACUUCAUUGCUUCUUCCAUAAUGAACAGUAUUCUUCUCCUGUGUAGGUGGAAAGGUGUGCAUCAGCACUGCUGCCUGGCCAGAGCUUGUUGGGAAAUGUAGUUUGGCUGAGGGGCAAAGUCCCCAACAAAGAACAGGAAGAGGAUGGACUUGAGACCUCUGGAGUCAAGCUGUGAUGCCCCUUCAGAACUGAAGUAUUUUAACUAGUUUCUUGGUUUGCCUGCUCAGGUUUUCAAUGAAAACUUGAAAUGUUCUGUGGAAAGCAGAACCAUUUCAGGAAUAAUUCACUGCCACUGAAAGAUCCAUUCUCUACUGCAAA